GACGAACGCUGGCGGCGUGCUUAACACAUGCAAGUCGAACGGUGAAGCGCCUUCCUUUUUGGUGGGUGGGGAUGAGUGGCGAACGGGUGAGUAACACGUGAGUAACCUGCCCCCUUCUUCUGGAUAACGGCAUGAAAGUGUGGCUAAUACGGGAUAUUCUGGGUCUGUCGCAUGAUGGGUCUGGGAAAGAUAUUGUUUCGGUGGGGGAUGGGCUCGCGGCCUAUCAGCUUGUUGGUGGGGUGAUGGCCUACCAAGGCGGUGACGGGUAGCCGGCCUGAGAGGGUGGACGGCCACAGUGGGACUGAGACACGGGCCAGACUCCUACGGGAGGCAGCAGUGGGGAAUAUUGCACAAUGGGCGCAAGUCUGAUGCAGCGACGCCGCGUGAGGGAUGGAGGCCUUCGGGUUGUGAACCUCUUUCGCUAGUGAAGCAGGCCUGCCUCGUUUGUGGGUGGGUUGACGGUAGCUGGAUAAGAAGCGCCGGCUAACUACGUG
rnacentral:rRNA from 1 species